ensembl:lncRNA
UGUUAGGCUAGCCAGGUCUGGUCUGAGGCAGGGCAGACAGGUGUGUUAGGCUAGCCAGGUCUGGUCUGAGGCAGGGCAGACAGGUGUGUUAGGCUAGCCAGGUCUGGUCUGAGGCAGGGCAGACAGGUGUGUUAAGCUAGCCAGGUCUGGUCUGAGGCAGGGCAGACAGGUGUGUUAAGCUAGCCAGGUCUGGUCUGAGGCAGGGCAGGGCAGACAGGUGUGUUAAGCUAGCCAGGUCUGAUCUGAGGCAGGGCAGACAGGUGUGUUAAGCUAGCCAGAUCUGGUCUGAGGCAGGGCAGGGCAGACAGGUGUGUUAACCUAGCCAGGUCUGGUCUGAGGCAGGGCAGGGCAGACAGGUGUGUUAAGCUAGCCAGGUCUGGUCUGAGGCAGGACAGGGCAGA